UACGUAGGUGGCUAGCGUUGUCCGGAUUUACUGGGCGUAAAGAGCGCGCAGGCGGUCGUUCAAGUCGAGUGUGAAAGCCCCCGGCUCAACUGGGGAGGGUCACUCGAUACUGAUCGACUCGAAGGCAGGAGAGGGAAGCGGAAUUCCCGGUGUAGUGGUGAAAUGCGCAGAUAUCAGGAGGAACACCGGUGGCGAAGGCGGUGGUCUGGGCCGGCACUGACGCUGAGGAGCGAAAGCGUGGGUAGCAAACAGG
rnacentral:rRNA from 1 species